rnacentral:rRNA from 1 species
CCUACGGGCGGCUGCAGUGGGGAAUAUUGGACAAUGGGGGCAACCCUGAUCCAGCCAUGCCGCGUGUGUGAAGAAGGCCCUCGGGUUGUAAAGCACUUUCAGUGAGGAAGAACGCCUAGUGGGUAAUACCCAUCAGGAAAGACAUCACUCACAGAAGAAGCACCGGCUAACUCCGUGCCAGCAGCCGCGGUAAUACGGAGGGUGCGAGCGUUAAUCGGAAUUACUGGGCGUAAAGCGCGCGUAGGUGGCUUGAUAAGCCGGUUGUGAAAGCCCCGGGCUCAACCUGGGAACGGCAUCCGGAACUGUCAAGCUAGAGUGCAGGAGAGGAAGGUAGAAUUCCCGGUGUAGCGGUGAAAUGCGUAGAGAUCGGGAGGAAUACCAGUGGCGAAGGCGGCCUUCUGGACUGACACUGACACUGAGGUGCGAAAGCGUGGGUAGCAAACAGGAUUAGAUACCCGUGUAGUC